rnacentral:rRNA from 1 species
GACGAACGCUGGCGGCGUGCUUAACACAUGCCAGUCGAACGGAAAGGCCCUGCUUGCAGGGUACUCGAGUGGCGAACGGGUGAGUAACACGUGGGUGAUCUGCCCUGCACUUCGGGAUAAGCCUGGGAAACUGGGUCUAAUACCGGAUAGGAGCCAUUUUUAGUGUGAUGGUUGGAAAGUUUUUUCGGUGUAGGAUGAGCUCGCGGCCUAUCAGCUUGUUGGUGGGGUAAUGGCCUACCAAGGCGGCGACGGGUAGCCGGCCUGAGAGGGUGGACGGCCACCUUGGGACUGAGAUACGGCCCAGACUCCUACGGGAGGCAGCAGUGGGGAAUAUUGCACGAUGGGCGCAAGCCUGAUGCAGCGACGCCGCGUGGGGGAUGACGGCCUUCGGGUUGUAAACUCCUUUCGCUAGGGACGAAGCUUUUUGUGACGGUACCUAGAUAAGAAGCACCGGCUAACUACGUG